GAGGCACUACGGUGCUGAAGCAACAAAUGCCCUGCUUCCAGGAAAAGCCUCUAAGCAUCAGGUAACAUCAAAUCGUACCCCAAACCGACACAGGUGGUCAGGUAGAGAAUACCAAGGCGCUUGAGAGAACUCGGGUGAAGGAACUAGGCAAAAUGGUGCCGUAACUUCGGGAGAAGGCACGCUGACACGUAGGUGAAGUGAUUUACUCACGGAGCUGAAGUCAGUCGAAGAUACCAGCUGGCUGCAACUGUUUAUUAAAAACACAGCACUGUGCAAACACGAAAGUGGACGUAUACGGUGUGACGCCUGCCCGGUGCCGGAAGGUUAAUUGAUGGGGUCAGCGCAAGCGAAGCUCCUGAUCGAAGCCCCGGUAAACGGCGGCCGUAACUAUAACGGUCCUAAGGUAGCGAAAUUCCUUGUCGGGUAAGUUCCGACCUGCACGAAUGGCGUAAUGAUGGCCAGGCUGUCUCCACCCGAGACUCAGUGAAAUUGAACUCGCUGUGAAGAUGCAGUGUACCCGCGGCAAGACGGAAAGACCCCGUGAACCUUUACUAUAGCUUGACACUGAACAUUGAGCCUUGAUGUGUAGGAUAGGUGGGAGGCUUUGAAGUGUGGACGCCAGUCUGCAUGGAGCCGACCUUGAAAUACCACCCUUUAAUGUUUGAUGUUCUAACGUGGACCCGUGAUCCGGGUUGCGGACAGUGUCUGGUGGGUAGUUUGACUGGGGCGGUCUCCUCCUAAAGAGUAACGGAGGAGCACGAAGGUUGGCUAAUCCUGGUCGGACAUCAGGAGGUUAGUGCAAUGGCAUAAGCCAGCUUGACUGCGAGCGUGACGGCGCGAGCAGGUGCGAAAGCAGGUCAUAGUGAUCCGGUGGUUCUGAAUGGAAGGGCCAUCGCUCAACGGAUAAAAGGUACUCCGGGGAUAACAGGCUGAUACCGCCCAAGAGUUCAUAUCGACGGCGGUGUUUGGCACCUCGAUGUCGGCUCAUCACAUCCUGGGGCUGAAGUAGGUCCCAAGGGUAUGGCUGUUCGCCAUUUAAAGUGGUACGCGAGCUGGGUUUAGAACGUCGUGAGACAGUUCGGUCCCUAUCUGCCGUGGGCGCUGGAGAACUGAGGGGGGCUGCUCCUAGUACGAGAGGACCGGAGUGGACGCAUCACUGGUGUUCGGGUUGUCAUGCCAAUGGCACUGCCCGGUAGCUAAAUGCGGAAGAGAUAAGUGCUGAAAGCAUCUAAGCACGAAACUUGCCCCGAGAUGAGUUCUCCCUGAGACUUAGAGUCUCCUGAAGGAACGUUGAAGACGACGACGUUGAUAGGCCGGGUGUGUAAGCGCAGCGAUGCGUUGAGCUAACCGGUACUAAUGAACCGUGAGGCUUAACCUU
rnacentral:rRNA from 1 species